UCUGAACACAAGCACGCUAUCUCACCCUGGCCACACACAAACCUAAACCUAAAUCGCACACCAGCCGCCGCCACACUUCCUCUCCGUCGAUCCGUUCAUGCCGCUGCACGUCCCACCAUCGCCCGCGGGGGCCUGCGCCACCCGAAGCUCCCGUCCAUCUCAAAGUGCAGCUCCACCACCAGUAGCCUGAGGUGAAGCCCCGUCGUCAGCUCAUCCCGCGACCGACGCCGCGUCUGCCGAUUCGGUCGCGCCGCUGCGCCUCCACCGCCAGCGGCGCCACGCGGCCACCCGAAGCUCUUGCCCAGCCCGCGGUGCAUCCCGACGUGUCGCCCUGGCGAUGGACGACCCGCCCAUCGAUUUGCGCUGGUGCUUCUCCGACUGCCAUUAGUCCCCCCCAAAGGAUCCUUAUACCCUGUGCUUCCAUCCACAACCAAGGAGCCACACAAACCCCUGCAUCCCGAGGUGCCAGCCAGCCGUCCCUCUUCCACCUCCGGUGAUGGCUCCCCUAUUCCCCCUUGUCCUGCCCUCCUUUGAAUCCAACCGUUGCAUCCUCGUCUUCAAUUGAAUCUAUUUACAGAGGGAAAACUCCACAAGAGGCUUCUGAAGCUUGGUCAACACCUACAUGAGGAUUAUGAAAGAUUGAUCCAAGCCAGCUUCAGAAGGAGCUCAAGGCAUACAGGAAGACCGAGGACGAGGGGAUGAACACACUUUUGAACACUACCUCCAUUUCUGUGCAGUUUCUCUCAAGAUGCAAGCUGAAAUGCUGGUGAUCAAGAAGAACAGUCCUGUGAAUGGCAUCAUCAAGCUCAUCGAACAGCAUCACAUCACAAACCAUGUCAUGGGAACAUCUUCCUUCUCACCGUGUGUCCAGAUCAAAUACAGCUUCAUAACAAGGAUUCAUCUAUAAACAUGCACAUCAAAAUUGCCCGCAGACUUCUAUAUAUAUAUAUAUAUACAUACUGAUUUUUUAGGUAGGAGGUCAUAUUCUUUAAGGAUCCAUUUGAUCCACUUGUUCAUUGUAAAUACUGAUUUGUGCACCAAACUUCAGUCAUGCCUUGUUCCAACUGAGGCAUCCCUGCACUAUGCAUAUACGUGAUUUUGUUUUACUGCUAGCAAUGUGUCCCAUUUAUUUUAUACUUCUUAGAUGUUCGCCUUAAACUGGUGCACAUAAUUUUCACUAGUCUGGUCAGUAUAAACGACAUGUUUGACAACUACAUUUCAUUCUUUUUUGAUAGAAGCUGGUAUAUGCCAAGUUGCCAACCUAUUUUACCUUGUUCACUAUGUGACUUCUUUUGUAUAACCUAUCUGUCUGAAUACCAUUUGCACAAAUCUCUCUGCAUGAACUUGCUAUGCUAGGUUGUCUUAGUACCAUGUGUUUCUUAAUGACAUUUGAAGUGCAGGUUACAUCUGAUCUCUAAUGCAUUUGCAUUGUAAUAUUGUAACGUAAUCAAUUUUGAAGGUGAUCUUAGUAUUGGGCAAUUUCUUAUAGUUCAAUCUUUACUGGUGUUACAAAUUUAGAAUAAUUGUAGUAUAGACAUCUGAAACUAAAAAGACUCAUUGGUUAUAUACAGGCACUAAGGUGUGAUAAAUCAUGAUGGCACACUAUCAACUUAUAUAAGUUCCUUGAGGGUAAAAGCAUGUAAUGAACAAGGUACUAGCUUUCUAUCCAUUCUUUUCUUUAUUCCGGCGUGAACUAUGUUGUCCUCCCUGAAAUGGUGAAAAAUGUCUAUAUAACCAUGUUAUGCAUGAUUUUGCUAUGUGUGUAACAUUUCAAGGGCAACUUCUUAGCUCAACUGAUGGCUGGAUGUCCUUUAUUACAAGCGUGCAUGCUCUAACCAUUUGUUCUUUCUUAUCGUGAUGGAAGAUGUAACACCAUUUACUUGCUAGGUCACUUUCUUACAUUUUCUAAACAGAAUCAUUCGAGUUUCAAUGCUAAAUCAGAUUUGCUUACUAAAGGAUAUCAAUAAUUAUGCUAGUUCUAUGAAUAGUUUAGUGUCUUGUAGAUGAACUGAGCGCAUGUAGUAAUUAAAUGGACUAUAGAUGAACUCAGAGCACAUAGUAAAUGGCUGGCAAGAUUUUAUUAUAAAUUUUGUGAAGAUCAUCCUAGCAAUUACUCACACUAGACAAUGCCUAACUAGAGUGCAUCUAUUGAACCAAGAUGCAUGUGCAACCAUAUGGUCUUCGAAAUGGCUUUUUUUUACCAAGUGCAUUUCCUGCUUUCACACAUAUGACUGGUGGUACAUGUACAAGUGCAUAUCUGAUUAUUUGAUGGUUGAGGACCUUCAAAUACAAAUUUGUAAAGUUACAAUAAGAACCUUAUUUCUUAUGCCUUGGAACAGAUCUGAGUCAAUGAGUGCAUAAUUUUUCUAUUAAGGCAUGUGAUAAACUAGUUGCUAGCUUGACUUUUGUUGGUACUUUGUUAAGGAUAUCUUCUGUAACCAAAUUAUUUGUAGUACAUCUUCUAUUUUUAGAUCUUUGGGAUCAAAGGCAACUCACAAAUUUGAGCAAAUUCUCAUUUCUAAUAUUGCUCAAACAUGUAAGUUCUUUUGCAGCGAAAUGGCUCAUCUAGAGGUUGAUACAAGAUGUUUUGAUGGUCGGUUUUGUUCACAACAUGUUUGACACAUUUUGUGGAUAUGGAAGUUGAUGUCAGCUUGGUGAUCGAAGAGAUUUGGUCUCUUCCUUAAUAUUUUGUAGUAGUCAAGUGAUCGAACAAUUGGGUCUCUUAGGAGCCUGGCCAUCAUAUUUUGUAACAGACCAUGUCUUGUAUGUCAACUUAUUUACUUAUUGGUUGUAGCUGACUUGAGUGUAGCAAACUACUGAAUCUUGUAUUAAUCAAUGGUAUGUUCUGAUGAAUCGAAGAGUAUGUUUUGUUUGUA